GCAAGUCGAACGAGAGCGACCGGUGCUUGCACUGGUCAAUCUCGUGGCGAACGGGUGAGUAACACGUGGGUAAACUUCCUAUAAGAGGGGGAUAACAUCCGGAAACGGAUGCUAAAACCGCAUAGGUCUUCGAGCCGCAUGGCUUGAAGAGGAAAAGAGGCGCAAGCUUCUGCUGAUGGAUGGACCCGCGGUGCAUUAGCUAGUUGGUGAGGUAACGGCUCACCAAGGCCGUGAUGCAUAGCCGACCUGAGAGGGUGAUC
rnacentral:rRNA from 1 species